rnacentral:rRNA from 1 species
GUAGGGAAUAUUGCGCAAUGGGGGAAACCCUGACGCAGCGACGCCGCGUGAGUGAUGAAGGCCUUCGGGUCGUAAAGCUCUGUUGCAGGGGAAUAAAAAAAUGAAGGUACCCUGUGAGGAAGGAUCGGCUAACUUCGUGCCAGCAGCCGCGGUAAGACGAGGGAUCCUAGCGUUGCUCGGAAUCAUUGGGCGUAAAGAGGGCGUAGGUGGCUUGGUAAGUCAGGUGUGAAAGCCCAGGGCUCAACCCUGGAAGUGCAUUUGAUACUGCUGAGCUUGAGUGUCGGAGAGGUUACCGGAAUACCUGGUGUAGUGGUGAAAUACGUAGAUAUCAGGUGGAACACCGGAGGCGAAGGCGGGUAACUGGACGAACACUGACACUGAGGCCCGAAAGCGUGGGGAUCAAACAGGAUUAGAUACCCUUGUAGUCC